rnacentral:tRNA from 1 species
CCCCAAGUGGCGAAAUUGGUAUACGCUCUGAUCUCAAAAAUCAGUGAUUAAUAAUCAUAUGGGUUCGAAUCCCAUCUUGGGGA